rnacentral:rRNA from 1 species
CCUACGGGUGGCAGCAGUCGAGAAUUUUUCACAAUGGGCGCAAGCCUGAUGGAGCGACGCCGCGUGGGGGAUGAAGGGCUUCGGCUCGUAAACCCCUGUCAGUCGCGAACAAGGUGCACUCAAUAAUACUGGGUGCAUUGAUAGUAGUGACAGAGGAAGGGACGGCUAACUCUGUGCCAGCAGCCGCGGUAAUACAGAGGUCCCGAGCGUUGUUCGGAUUCACUGGGCGUAAAGGGUGCGUAGGUGGCUUUGCAAGUCUGAUGUGAAAUCUCCGGGCCCAACCCGGAAACGGCAUUAGAAACUGUGAGGCUGGAGGCUUGGAGGGGGAACUGGAAUUCUCGGUGUAGCAGUGAAAUGCGUAGAGAUCGAGAGGAACACCAGUGGCGAAGGCGAGUUCCUGGACAAGACCUGACACUGAGGCACGAAAGCCGGGGGAGCAA